GGUAGUCCACGCCGUAAACGAUGUCGACUUGGAGGCUGUUCCCUUGAGGAGUGGCUUCCGGAGCUAACGCGUUAAGUCGACCGCCUGGGGAGUACGGCCGCAAGGUUAAAACUCAAAUGAAUUGACGGGGGCCCGCACAAGCGGUGGAGCAUGUGGUUUAAUUCGAUGCAACGCGAAGAACCUUACCUACUCUUGACAUCCAGAGAAUUUAGCAGAGAUGCUUUAGUGCCUUCGGGAACUCUGAGACAGGUGCUGCAUGGCUGUCGUCAGCUCGUGUUGUGAAAUGUUGGGUUAAGUCCCGCAACGAGCGCAACCCUUAUCCUUUGUUGCCAGCACGUAAUGGUGGGAACUCAAAGGAGACUGCCGGUGAUAAACCGGAGGAAGGUGGGGAUGACGUCAAGUCAUCAUGGCCCUUACGAGUAGGGCUACACACGUGCUACAAUGGCGCAUACAAAGAGAAGCGACCUCGCGAGAGCAAGCGGACCUCAUAAAGUGCGUCGUAGUCCGGAUUGGAGUCUGCAACUCGACUCCAUGAAGUCGGAAUCGCUAGUAAUCGUAAAUCAGAAUGUUACGGUGAAUACGUUCCCGGGCCUUGUACACACCGCCCGUCACACCAUGGGAAUUUGUUGCACCAGAAGUAGGUAGUCUAACCGCAAGGAGGACGCUUACCACGGUGUGGCCGAUGACUGGGGUGAAGUCGUAACAAGGUAGCCGUAGGGGAACCUGC
rnacentral:rRNA from 1 species